GGGUUGAUAUGAGGACACAUG
rnacentral:miRNA from 1 species